rnacentral:lncRNA from 1 species
ACACUCCUGCAUUUUCUCAAAGCGCUGCUCGCCACCCCGCUCCGGGUUCCCUUUUACUCUCCAGUCAUCCGAUGGAAGUGGUGAGAACAAAAACAAAGACAAAAAAGCUAAAUCCGGGGAAGUUAUCUCCAUCUCCUCCCUUUUCUUGUUCGGCCCCCUCCCCAAGAACCGCCGGGUCGGGAUAGCCCCCGGCUACUUUCUCACCCGGCCCGUGGAGGGAAGGAGAAAGUUGGGCGCCGCUUGGAGCGCCUCUUCCCCUGCUGUGUGUGUACGUGUGCACGCUCACGUCUCCCCCGCGCCGGGGCCGGGGACAGGAACUGCUCUCGGUCCCGUCACCCCACGGCGCAGCUCGGGGGGCUCGCAGGGCUGGGGGAGGGCGGGGACACGAGCGCCGCGCCCAAGCGCCCCAGGGCACGCACCCGGCGUUGGCGCGCACUCGCCCCUCCCCCCGUCCCCACCCUCCUCCUGGAGAACAGAGAAAAGAAGAUGACCAUCUUCUCCUGAACAAAAUUAUGAACUGUCAGAGGUUUCAAAGGUAAUAAGUUUUAUGAUGCAAGUGGAAGAAGAACCAGAAGUAAUGAUGAGCUAGAACUUAUCAGAGAUUUCCUUGAAAUCAGGACUUGGUGUUUAUAAGAUGGGUCUGUCCCAGGCUUAUGCAUGACAGCUGGUGAGCAGUUAGUUGCAUGCAGAGGACAUUGCUCAUUUUGGGCCUAUCUACACUCAAAACCAGGAAAAUAUGCUGUGAAAAUUUGCUAUUACUAACGUCUCUAAUAAAGUUUUAAAAAACGAUC